GCCCAAGUGGCGGAAUUGGUAGACGCACCAGAUUUAGGUUCUGGCGCCGCGAGGCGUGGGGGUUCGAGUCCCUUCUUGGGCA
rfam:Azoarcus sp. CIB, complete genome.